GGACUAAAUUAAAGCAAUACGACCACAAUUACACACUCCCAUAAAACUUAGCACACGUACAUGAAGUUCAAAUUAGCACACAACAUAGGGAACCAUAAACAACAAACACUGACAAACAUAAACAAUAAACGUUGGCAAACGUAACAGAGCCUACACAUUUUGACGAUGAUUUCCACUUUGAGCUAUUGGACGCUUGGUUGUCCUUUGCGUUGUGGGGCAAGUCCUUCGGUUAUGGCCCAAGGUGUGGCAUACGGAGCACGCCAUCUAUGAUGUCAAGACGGUCGGACAUUGGCCUCGCCUAUGCCCAUCUUAGUUGCAAGCAGUGCAAUGGGGCUCUUUGUCUUCAGUCCAAUCUAUUUCUUUGUGUAUUCUAGCGUGCCUUGGCCUCCCCUAGAUACGGAGAAGAUUGCAGUUUGGGAUGAUCUCAGGUCCAUCAUGUUGAGCCCAUUCCUCUGGCCCAUCAAUAGGACGGAAACUAACAACAUAUAUCUUGGCUAUUGUGGCUAGCUUGAACAUGGGAUGUACGAAGUGGUACGGGUUGAGGUUGACCGCGUUGCACACCGCAUAAGCAUGACUACACAGAAUCUUUGAGUGCUGGAAGAUGCCACA
rnacentral:lncRNA from 1 species